GUAACAGAGUGCACAGUGCGUCACAGAUUUAUAUUGAUCUACCAAUGUUUUAAUUAUCUGUUAAAACCUUAACUGUUCUAUAUUGUGAUCUGCGUCCUGGGCUCGUGCUAAGCAAUGCAUACAGUGCAUUCACUACCAGGAUCCUUCUCUUUCGGUUUGUUUUUGAAGAAUAGGUUUUGGUUACAUUGGUUGACAUCUGUGGGGAACAGGAA